UGGGUAUUUAGAUUCCCUUCGGGGACACGAAUCUUUUGAUUCAGUUCACUUUAAAGAUUCGUUCACCGGUUCGCAAACGACUUCUGGUGAUUUGCACGUUCUCGAACGAUUCGUCUUUGUACUUAAUUCGUUCAAUUUGCUGCUGCACUGCGUUCCCACUGCUGAUAACCUCAUCCCAUUACACGGUCGCCGUGGAAACACCACACAUGAUGGUUCCACUAUCAGAUGAUGCUGAUGGUGAUGGCCCUGAGGGAGAGAUGCAGGCAGAGCUCAGUGGACAGAACUGGCCAGAGGCGCGGGAAGGUAUUUUGAGUGGGGGUGCUGAGGUGCCGGACUCCAGUGA